rnacentral:rRNA from 1 species
GAUGAACGCUAGCGGCAGGCUUAAUACAUGCAAGUCGUGGGGCAGCAUGAAGUAGCAAUACUUUGAUGGCGACCGGCAAACGGGUGCGGAGCACGUACACAACCUUCCUUUUAGUGGGGAAUAGCCCAGAGAAAUUUGGAUUAAUACCCCGUAACAUAGCGAUGAGGCAUCUCAUUGCUAUUAUAGCUUCGGCGCUAGAUGAUGGGUGUGCGUAUGAUUAGAUAGUUGGCGAGGUAACGGCUCACCAAGUCUACGAUCAUUAGCUGAUGUGAGAGCAUGAGCAGCCACACGGGCACUGAGACACGGGCCCGACUCCUACGGGAGGCAGCAGUAAGGAAUAUUGGUCAAUGGACGAAAGUCUGAACCAGCCAUGCCGCGUGAAGGAUUAAGGUCCUCUGGAUUGUAAACUUCUUUUAUAUGGGACGAAAAAAGGUCUUUCUAGAUCACUUGACGGUACCAUAUGAAUAAGCACCGGCUAACUCCGUGCCAGCCGCCGCGGUAAUAC